rnacentral:rRNA from 1 species
GACGAACGCUGGCGGCGUGCUUAACACAUGCAAGUCGAACGGAAAGGCCCUGCUUGCAGGGUACUCGAGUGGCGAACGGGUGAGUAACACGUGGGUGAUCUGCCCUGCACUUCGGGAUAAGCCUGGGAAACUGGGUCUAAUACCGGAUAGGAGCCAUUUUUAGUGUGAUGGUUGGAAAGUUUUUUCGGCGUAGGAUGAGCUCGCGGCCUAUCAGCUUGUUGGUGGGGUAAUGGCCUACCAAGGCGGCGACGAGUAGCCGGCCUGAGAGGGUGGACGGCCACAUUGGGACUGAGAUACGGCCCAGACUCCUACGGGAGGCAGCAGGGGGGAAUAUUGCACAAUGGGCGCAAGCCUGAUGCAGCGACGCCGCGUGGGGGAUGACGGCCUUCGGGUUGUAAACUCCUUUCGCUAGGGACGAAGCUUUUUGUGACGGUACCUAGAUAAGAAGCACCGGCUAACUACGUG